rnacentral:rRNA from 1 species
GAUGAACGCUGGCGGCGUGCCUAAUACAUGCCAGUCGAGCGAACAGACGAGGAGCUUGCUCCUCUGACGUUAGCGGCGGACGGGUGAGUAACACGUGGAUAACCUACCUAUAAGACUGGGAUAACUUCGGGAAACCGGAGCUAAUACCGGAUAAUAUAUUGAACCGCAUGGUUCAAUAGUGAAAGACGGUUUUGCUGUCACUUAUAGAUGGAUCCGCGCCCAUUAGCUAGUUGGUAAGGUAACGGCUUACCAAGGCGACGAUGCGUAGCCGACCUGAGAGGGUGAUCGGCCACACUGGAACUGAGACACGGUCCAGACUCCUACGGGAGGCAGCAGUAGGGAAUCUUCCGCAAUGGGCGAAAGCCUGACGGAGCAACGCCGCGUGAGUGAUGAAGGUCUUCGGAUCGUAAAACUCUGUUAUUAGGGAAGAACAAAUGUGUAAGUAACUAUGCACGUCUUGACGGUACCUAAUCAGAAAGCCACGGCUAACUACGUG